GAUGAACGCUGGCGGCGUGCCUAAUACAUGCAAGUCGAGCGAACAGACGAGGAGCUUGCUUCUCUGACGUUAGCGGCGGACGGGUGAGUAACACGUGGAUAACCUACCUAUAAGACUGGGAUAACUUCGGGAAACCGGAGCUAAUACCGGAUAAUAUAUUGAACCGCAUGGUUCAAUAGUGAAAGACGGUUUUGCUGUCACUUAUAGAUGGAUCUGCGCUGCAUUAGCUAGUUGGUAAGGUAACGGCUUACCAAGGCAACGAUGCGUAGCCGACCUGAGAGGGUGAUCGGCCACACGGGAACUGAGACACGGUCCAGACUCCUACGGGAGGCAGCAGUAGGGAAUCUUCCGCAAUGGGCGAAAGCCUGACGGAGCAACGCCGCGUGAGUGAUGAAGGUCUUCGGAUCGUAAAACUCUGUUAUUAGGGAAGAACAAAUGUGUAAGUAACUAUGCACGUCUUGACGGUACCUAAUCAGAAAGCCACGGCUAACUACGUG
rnacentral:rRNA from 1 species